rnacentral:rRNA from 1 species
AUUGAACGCUGGCGGAAUGCUUUACACAUGCAAGUCGAACGGCAGCACGGGGGCAACCCUGGUGGCGCGUGGCGAACGGGUGAGUAAUACAUCGGAACGUGCCCGGUCGUGGGGGAUAACGUAGCGAGAGAUACGCUAAUACCGCAUACGAUCUGAGGAUGAAAGCGGGGGACCUUCGGGCCGCGCGCGAUCGGAGCGGCCGAUGUCAGAUUAGGUAGUUGGUGGGGUAAAGACCUACCAAGCCGACGAUCUGUAGCUGGUCUGAGAGGACGACCAGCCACACUGGGACUGAGACACGGCCCAGACUCCUACGGGAGGCAGCAGUGGGGAAUUUUGGACAAUGGGGGCAAGCCUGAUCCAGCCAGUCCGCGUGCAGGACGAAGGCCUUCGGGUUGUAAACUGCUUUUGUAUGGAACGAAAAGGCUCUGGCUAAUACCUGGGGCUCAUGACGGUACCGUAAGAAUAAGCACCGGCUAACUACGUG